UGGGGAAUAUUGCACAAUGGGCGCAAGCCUGAUGCAGCCAUGCCGCGUGUGUGAAGAAGGCCUUCGGGUUGUAAAGCACUUUCAGCGAGGAGGAAGGUGGUGAGCUUAAUACGCUCAUCAAUUGACGUUACUCGCAGAAGAAGCACCGGCUAACUCCGUGCCAGCAGCCGCGGUAAUACGGAGGGUGCAAGCGUUAAUCGGAAUUACUGGGCGUAAAGCGCACGCAGGCGGUUUGUUAAGUCAGAUGUGAAAUCCCCGGGCUCAACCUGGGAACUGCAUUUGAAACUGGCAAGCUAGAGUCUCGUAGAGGGGGGUAGAAUUCCAGGUGUAGCGGUGAAAUGCGUAGAGAUCUGGAGGAAUACCGGUGGCGAAGGCGGCCCCCCUGGACGAAGACUGACGCUCAGGUGCGAAAGCGUGGGGAGCAAACAGAUUAGNUACCCUGGUAGUCCACGCUGUAAACGAUGUCGAUUUUGGAGGUUGUGCCCAUUGAGGCGUGGNUUCCGGAGCUAACGNGUUAAAUGACCGCCNGGGGAGUANGGCCCAAGGUUAAAACU
rnacentral:rRNA from 1 species